rnacentral:sRNA from 1 species
GCCAAGCGCGGCAUUGAACUGCGGAAGCUGUGGAUGGUCGAUUUCGCCUCCCGAACCGGCCACCGACCGGCGGC